UAUAAUGCAGCUUUUCUACUUGAUUAAAAACCGCCAGGGCGUGAGCCACUGCACCCGGCCCCUUGUGUUAUUUUGAGGCUGGUUUAUUUGUUUCACCCAAAUACCAGCUAAAUCACAUCUCAAGACUAGGCUCCUCUGCCCACAUGGAGCUUCCACUUCUGCUGCCUUCCUUGAGUAUCUUGGCUUGAUAGUAAAGACAGAAUGGUUCUUUUCAAAGUAGUUACUCCAUAAAUGUUGGUUAGAAUGAAUGGUUCUCUCAGACAAAUUU
ensembl:lncRNA novel transcript